rfam:Clostridium grantii DSM 8605 genome assembly, contig: EJ34DRAFT_scaffold00009.9
GAACGCCGUGUGAUGGGAAACUAUCACGCACGGUGUGGACUGGGGGAAAAUCCGGAUAGUAUAGACUACAAAGGAUUACCUAUCAGUAUAAUUUUAUAGUUAUAGAACCCUUAAAUGACCCUAC